UUCUGUUUUUACUGUUUUACUCUGCUAGUGCGAAAAAGUUAUAAUGUCAAACAUAUGUUAAUGCAAUUUUAAAUUUGCUUCAUUAAAUACUGCAUUAAUGAUUCAACUUUGACAGACCUAAAAUGACAAACUGUAAAAGACGAUCUAGUUGAGUUUUGUCCAUUAUUCAUCCAUCUAUUUGAGUAAUAAUCCAUUAAUGUUGUUCAAACAGUUCAGAUUUAUGAAGAUGAGAUCACUUAUGUCAUUAUGAUACAUGAGCCAAUGUUCGAUGAAAGAAAUGCCCAUAAAUUGUUCCAAAAGAAGCCAUUUUACUGUUAAAUGUGUAUCGCUGGCAUACAAGACCUCUGAAAAGCUGAAGCUGAAGAUGAGGAUGAAGUAGUAGAGUAUGUGCCUAUCAGCAUGAGAAGAUGAUCAAACUUGAAUCUUUUUAAAGUAUGUUUUAAUGUGAUCAUUUUGGUAACACUUUAUUUUGAUAGACCGCUUUAGACAUUCUACUAACAGUAAGUAACAUUGCAACUACGUCAACUAGCAGUCAUUAGAGUAUUAGUAGACUGUCUGCUUAAUAUCUUCUAACACUUUAUUUUGAUGGGUCUACAACAUACAACAUAAUGACUAUGAGAAACUUUGCAAAUUUGUCAACUUAUUCUACUGACCCUAAACCUACCCUACUGAGAGUUAGUAGACAUGUAAUUACAAAUUAAUGAGAAUUAGUUGACAUGUUGUUAACAUGUAGUUACAAAGUUACUUAUAGUUAGUAGAAUGUUUAAAGUGGACUAUCAAAAUAAAGUGUAACCAUAAUGUUUAUAGGAAACUCUUGUGACAAACUUAUAGUUUGAGUCUAUUGUAUUAGUAUUAAUGUUAAGAUUUAUAUUCACUGAACCUUCAUAAAUUGAUAUGCAGUGCAAGUUUCAGUACUUAUUUCCAGCAUUAGCAGAGUUCGCAGAAGACCUAUUCUUGUUUAUAUCACAUUCUAUUUUUAUAAAGAUCC